CUUUAUCUUAUCUUUUUUAGGAGCCAGUUUCAGAAUGAAAAGCUUGUGACUGACAGUGUUCUGCUUUCUGCUCUCCUGAGCUUUAUGCUAAACCUUUAUGGCUGUAAUUGUCUCAGAAGAGUGGAGCUUGCCUCAGGUGUAGCUUCCAUCUCCUGGUGCCCUCUCUGCCUGCAGCAUUAAAGCUCUGCCUUUGGAGCACGUAGAAGAGCAACUGAGAGCUGGACCAUGUUCCAAGGGAAAAAAAAAAUCAAUAUAUUAUGCACAAGGUGUCUCCAAAUUCAGCACUUUGUAAUUAGUCCAGGAGCCAGCACUCCUCUGUCAACAGCAGGAUCCAAAUCUUGUUGUGGAGACCUGAUCAGUGCCUGGCAGUAUCAGCAGAUACUGAAUUUAUUGCUGGGGAAGGAAAGAAGUUGCCAUGACUACUCACCAAGUAAUACUCUAUUAUGUGCAAUGGAGACACGAACUGCCCCCAUGUCAGAGAAUUGCUGAGAACCAGACCCAGAGAGGAUUGCCAAAUUUUCCACUGAAUGCCAGAGGAAGAAGCACUGACCCUCACCUGCCGUGAGGCAGCAAAUCCCAUUCCUGGGAGGCCGUGAUUUGCUUCUGAUGCCAGCUGGAAAACUCUGCUGUGGACAAAAGCAAUUAAACAUCUGCAGAAUCUGCUGCUGCCGAGCCCUGCCACCACUCCUGGAAUGGUUAAUAUUAGGAAGAUUUUGCCUUAAGUGUUCACCUUGGAGGCUCAGGGUGGGGAUGCUGCUGCCUUUGGCUGGAUCAUGUGCUGCUCUCAGCAGCCCAGUGACCGGCUGGGAUGUGCUGAGCCAGGGAAGCUCUGGGAUGAAGCAGCAAAACGCAGCCUGGCCAGCCGAUGGCCGGUCACACAUUCCAAGUGUCGGACCGCCUCCACACCCCCGUGGCCACCUCUCCGGGCCUGCUCCACCUCCCGGGCAAAGGCACGGCUUCCCCCAGUCAGCAUCCACCUCGUGCCGCUGCCUUUGUGUGCUCCGGAGAGUUUGGGAAUGCGGCGGGAUUGCAGCCGAGUGCCAGGCAUGGCUGCCCGGGAGGGGAACGCGGAGCUCUCCCCGUGCCAAUCCUGCUUUGGUAGCGGGUGAUUUCUCAAAGGUGCUGUGGGACAAAUAAACAAAUGGCCUGGGAGUCAAAGCAGGCAUUGCCAGAGGUCAGAAGAAAUGAUGGGAGGGGGCAAAUCCCUGGGGUGAUGCCAGCAUCCCUUCUGCCGGCUGCACCCCGAGCCUGGGGAUACCUGAGCAGCCCCAGAACUUCCCCGCAGCCACCGCUGGCUCAGCCGUGCUGCUGAGCCAAAAACUCUGCAUUUUCUUGUGUUUUCCCCAACGUGUUUGGGAUUCCGGGAAGCUGAGGGUUAAUGUUAGCCCCCAGCGAUGGAGCUGGACGGGUGCCCUCGGUGGCUUCUUGGGCUGUUUCGCUGCAGUUUCCAUCCCCGUGGGUACCCACAGAGCCGUGGUCAGCCGCUGAGCUCCGGCAGCAGAAAGCAAUCUGCCCUGGGAGCACUUUGGGAAGGAUCCACGUCAAAAAGAAGAAGAACUCGGGGCUCUGAGAUGUCAGAGCUGAAAAAAUCCAGUUAAUCUCCCUCCCUGCAGACUCCACAGCUUGCUGGGAUGUCACUGAAUAAGCCCCUGGUAUGUCUGUGCUGCAGGCAGGGCUGCCGGGCAUUUUAAAGACAUUUAAGGGAAAUUGAAGGACAAGCCCUGUUCCUGGUCAUGAGGAGGUGUCUGGUCUCUUUCAUGUCCUCCAGGAGGAGGCUUUGGGGUGUGCUCUGUCUGCUUGCCUUGGGCCUCUGGGAUCCCGCACCUGUGCCAGCUUCGG